GACGAACGCUGGCGGCGUGCUUAACACAUGCAAGUCGAACGGAAAGGCCCUGCUUUUGUGGGGUGCUCGAGUGGCGAACGGGUGAGUAACACGUGAGUAACCUGCCCUUGACUUUGGGAUAACUUCAGGAAACUGGGGCUAAUACCGGAUAGGAGCUCCUGCUGCAUGGUGGGGGUUGGAAAGUUUCGGCGGUUGGGGAUGGACUCGCGGCUUAUCAGCUUGUUGGUGGGGUAGUGGCUUACCAAGGCUUUGACGGGUAGCCGGCCUGAGAGGGUGACCGGCCACAUUGGGACUGAGAUACGGCCCAGACUCCUACAGGAGGCAGCAGUGGGGAAUAUUGCACAAUGGGCGGAAGCCUGAUGCAGCAACGCCGCGUGCGGGAUGACGACCUUCGGGUUGUAAACCGCUUUCGCCUGUGACGAAGCGUGAGUGACGGUAAUGGGUAAAGAAGCACCGGCUAACUACGUG
rnacentral:rRNA from 1 species